rnacentral:rRNA from 1 species
GACAGAGGGUGCAAACGUUGUUCGGAAUUACUGGGCGUAAAGCGCGUGUAGGCGGCUCGGAAAGUCGGAUGUGAAAGCCCUGGGCUUAACCUAGGAAGUGCAUUCGAAACUCCCGAGCUUGAGUUCUGGAGAGGAAGGCGGAAUUCUCGGUGUAGAGGUGAAAUUCGUAGAUAUCGAGAGGAACACCGGUGGCGAAGGCGGCCCACUGGCUCGAUACUGACGCUGAGGUGGCGAAAAGCGUGGGGA